rnacentral:rRNA from 1 species
CCUACGGGCGGCUGCAGUGAGGAAUAUUGGUCAAUGGGCGCGAGCCUGAACCAGCCAAGUAGCGUGAAGGAUGACUGCCCUACGGGUUGUAAACUUCUUUUAUAAAGGAAUAAAGUGAGGCACGUGUGCCUUUUUGUAUGUACUUUAUGCAUAAGGAUCGGCUAACUCCGUGACAGCAGCCGCGGUAAUACGGAGGAUCCGAGCGUUAUCCGGAUUUAUUGGGUUUAAGGGGAACGUAGAUGGGUUGUUAAGUCAGUUGUGAAAGUUUGGGGCUCAACCUGAAAAUUGCAAUUGAUACUGGCAGCCUUGAGUACAGUUGAGGUAGGCGGAAUUCGUGGUGUAGCGGUGAAAUGCUUAGAUAUCACGAAGAACUCCGAUUGCGAAGGCAGCCUACUAAACUGCCACUGACAUUGAUGCUCGAAAGUGUGGGUAUCAAACAGGAUUAGAUACCCUGGUAGUC